UUGGGGGUCAGUGGGCCACUUGGGGGUCAAUGGCGUCGCCUGGGGCUCAAUGGGGACACUUGGGGGUCAAUGGGGGCACAUGGGGGGCAGUAGGGGCACCUGAUGGUCAUUGGGGCCACUUGGUAGUCAAUAGGGGCACUUGGGGGUCAUUGGGGCCACUUGGGGGUCAAUGGGGGCACCUGGCAGUCAAUGGGGGAGCCUGGUGGUCAAUGGGGGCACUUGGGGGUCAAUGAGGGGACUUUGGGGUCAAUGGGGGCACUUUGGGGUCAAUGGGGGCACUUUGGGGUCAAUGGGGGCACCUGGUGGUCAGUAGGGCCACUUGGUAGUCAAUAGGGGCACUUGGGGGUCAGUGGCAUCACCUGGGGGUCAAUGGUGCCACUUGGGCAUCAUGGGGGCACCUGGGGGUCCUUGGGGGCACGUUGGGGUCUCUAUGGUCACGUUGGGGUCCCUGUGCCCACCUUGGGGUCGCUGCUGGUUCAUAUGGGACCACAUUGUCCCUGGGUUCACCCUGAGGCCACUUUUGGGGUCCCUUGUGCCCACCUGGGGGUCCCGGGGUAUCUGGGUGCAUUGGGGACCACCCUGGGGCCCAUUGGUGACACCGUGGGGCCGUAUGGGACCACUAUGAGCUGUGGGGCCGCCCCACAACCGCCUUUGGGACCCCUGCAGGACAACGUCAACCCCAAGUGGGGGGCGAUCUGUGAUACCCCCCCCCCCUUUUGCCACCGGGUUUUGGUGCUGGGGGGGGGGUCUGUGCCACCCCCCGGCCUCGCUCCUCCCCACUGCAGCCCCCCCCCCCUCGGUGCCUUCAUCCUCCUCCUCUUCCUCCUCCUCCUCCGCAGCCCCCGCCUGGAUCCUGCAGCUCCGUCCCCACAGCAGGAGGAACCCAUGGGGCCGCCAGGGCACAACCUGAGCUGCGUGUCCUAUAAGCACCCCAGCGUUCGGGGCAGCCUGCUGGGGGGGAGCUGGGGCAGCACCCCAGCACCAUUCCCUGCCCCCCCCGGCAAUGCUGCAUCGGGAUCUGGAACCGCAGCCAGGCGCUGGUGCAGGGUGAGCCCCUGUGGGGGGGGGGGGGUCGGAGUGGGGGGGCCUGUGGGGGCUGAAAGCAGCCUUUGGGCACAGCUUGUGUGUGUGGGGGGGGGGUCGGUUCACUCCCUGCUCUGA
rnacentral:lncRNA from 1 species